rnacentral:rRNA from 1 species
UACGUAGGUGGCAAGCGUUGUCCGGAUUUAUUGGGCUUAAAGGGUGCGUAGGCGGCUUGAUAAGUCAGUGGUGAAAGCCGAUCGCUUAACGAUCGAACUGCCAUUGAUACUACCAGGCUUGAGUAUAGAUGAGGUAGGCGGAAUUGACAGUGUAGCGGUGAAAUGCAUAGAUAUUGUCAAGAACACCAAUUGCGAAGGCAGCUUACUAAGUUAUAACUGACGCUGAGGCACGAAAGUGCGGGGAUCAAACAGG